rnacentral:rRNA from 1 species
UACGUAGGGGGCAAGCGUUGUCCGGAUUUAUUGGGCGUAAAGAGCGUGUAGGCGGCCAUACAGGUCAGCUGUGAAAACUCGAGGCUCAACCUCGAGACGUCGGUUGAAACCGUAUGGCUAGAGUCCGGAAGAGGAGAGUGGAAUUCCCGGUGUAGCGGUGAAAUGCGCAGAUAUCGGGAGGAACACCGGUGGCGAAGGCGGGUCUCUGGGCCGAUAUUGACGCUGAGGAGCGAAAGCGUGGGGAGCGAACAGG